rnacentral:lncRNA from 1 species
AAGAACAAGGCGAGCCUGCGGUCAAACGCUGCUUCCGUGAUGAACUCUUGACAAAACCCCGCUAGACUCCCUGGCAUCUUCGGGAACACUAGUCCCCGGCUGUCACCGCUCCGCGGUCUGUGAGGACGGUCCCACGGGGCAGCGUUUCAGCUGCCCUCCUUGCUGUCAGCCUUCCUCACGGCCCCGCCACUGCGUCCCUGGUGGCUUCGCUGCCUUGGGGAGGGACUUCAGGUAGUCGAGGGGCAGAUCGUUCUUAGGACCGCUCUGACCAUCCGGCGACUUUGAAACCUUUAAAACCCUUUGUGAACAUUCUGGUUUGCUGCACUAGAGCGGACUGUUGAACGAUCUGAUGUUCUGGACAGGGUUGGCCUACCUUCUCAGAGAAACUGUGCUAGUAAUCCUCUCACAGACGUGCGUGAGGCAGACGGCAGUCAGAAGGAUUUAGGGGACGAUAUUCUGUCUCCAAAUGCCAUGGCUUCUAUUUCCUCCACCUCCUUUCUCAGUGACCCUAGCACGAUGCCGUCUAAUACGUCCACGCUUUGCUUCUUCAGAGAUCGCCGUGGCAGCCGCUUGGGCCUGGAACUAUCUAGCAGCGGAUGUGGACGGGUCCCCUCAGCUCUUUGACCGAGGAACUUGCACAUGUGUGGUCUGCUCGCACAUGGGACAGGAUCACCAUCCCCGCACGGCAAACCCUGUGGCCUAAAUGUGUCUGGGCAUCCAACCACUCAUGGGCACUGGACUGCGGCGUGUAAA